rnacentral:misc_RNA from 1 species
GAUGAAGAACGCAGCGAAAUGCGAUAAGUAAUGUGAAUUGCAGAAUUCAGUGAAUCAUCGAAUCUUUGAACGCGCAUUGCGCCCGCUAGUAUUCUGGCGGGCAUGCCUGUCCGAGCGUCAUUUCAACCCUCAAGCCCCCGGGCUUGGUGUUGGGGAUCGGCGAGCCUCCGCGCCCGCCGUCCCCUAAAUCUAGUGGCGGUCUCGCUGUAGCUUCCUCUGCGUAGUAGCACACCUCGCACUGGGAAACAGCGCGGCCACGCCGUUAAACCCCCAACUUCUGAACGUUUGACCUCGGAUCAGGUAGGAAUACCCGCUGAACUUAAGCAUAUCAAUAAGCGGAGGA